AACGCUAGCUACAGGCUUAACACAUGCAAGUCGAGGGGCAGCACGGGAGUAGCAAUACAACUGGUGGCGACCGGCGCACGGGUGAGUAACGCGUAUGCAACCUACCUAUCAGAGGGGAAUAACCCGGCGAAAGUCGGACUAAUACCGCAUAAAACAGGGACACCGCAUGGUGAUAUUUGUUAAAGAAAUUCGCUGAUAGAUGGGCAUGCGUUCCAUUAGGUAGUUGGUGAGGUAACGGCUCACCAAGCCGACGAUGGAUAGGGGAACUGAGAGGUUGGUCCCCCACACUGGUACUGAGACACGGACCAGACUCCUACGGGAGGCAGCAGUGAGGAAUAUUGGUCAAUGGGCGAGAGCCUGAACCAGCCAAGUCGCGUGAAGGAAGAAGGAUCUAUGGUUCGUAAACUUCUUUUGCAGGGGAAUAAAGUGCAGGACGUGUCCUGUUUUGUAUGUACCCUGAGAAUAAGGAUCGGCUAACUCCGUGCCAGCAGCCGCGGUAAUACGGAGGAUCCGAGCGUUAUCCGGAUUUAUUGGGUUUAAAGGGUGCGUAGGUGGUUUGAUAAGUCAGCGGUGAAAGUUUGCAGCUUAACUGUAAAAAUGCCGUUGAAACUGUCGGACUUGAGUGUAAAUGAGGUAGGCGGAAUGCGUGGUGUAGCGGUGAAAUGCUUAGAUAUCACGAAGAACUCCGAUUG
rnacentral:rRNA from 1 species